AUUUAAAUGUUUCUAUCAUAUCCCCCCUGUCUCGUCUUUCCUCCAAGCUAUACAUGUUAAGAUCCUUUAACCUUUCCUGGUAAGUUUUAACCUGCAAUCCAUGAACCAGUUUAGUAGCCCUUCUCUGAAUUCUCUCUAAAGUAUCAAUAUCCUUCUGAAGAUACGGUCUCCAGUACUGUGUACAAUACUCCAAGUGAGGUCUCACCUGUGUUCUGUACAAUGGCAUGAGCACUUCCCUCUUUCUACUGCUAAUACCUCUCCCUAUACAACCAAGCAUUCUGCUAG